UACGAAAGGGAUUAGCGUCAUUCAUAUUGAAUGGGUGUAAAGGGUAUGUAGGCGGUAUCAUUAAUGUAAUACUAAAAAAGAUAAAAAUAAUCUUAUAAGUAAAAAUUUUCAAAAUGAUUACUAGAGUGAAAUAGAGGAAAGAGGAAUUUCAAAUGGAAGGAUGAAAUCUUUUGAUAUUUGAAGGAACUCUAAAAGCGAAGGCUUCUUUCCAAUUAAUCACUGACGCUAAGAUACGAAAGUGUGGGUAGCAAAAAGG
rnacentral:rRNA from 1 species